UGGGGAAUAUUGGACAAUGGGCGCAAGCCUGAUCCAGCAAUGCCGCGUGGGUGAAGAAGGCCUUCGGGUUGUAAAGCCCUUUUGUACGGGAAGAAAUCAUCCGGGUUAAUACCCUGGGUGGAUGACGGUACCGUAAGAAUAAGCACCGGCUAACUUCGUGCCAGCAGCCGCGGUAAUACGAAGGGUGCAAGCGUUAAUCGGAAUUACUGGGCGUAAAGCGUGCGUAGGUGGUUGUUCAAGUCUGUCGUGAAAGCCCUGGGCUCAACCUGGGAAUGGCGAUGGAAACUGGGCGACUGGAGUGCGGUAGAGGAUGGCGGGAAUUCCCGGUUGUAGCGGUGAAAUGCGUAGAGAUCGGGAGGAACAUCCGGUGGCGAAGGCGGCCAUCUGGACCAGCACUGACACUGAGGCACGAAAGCGUGGGGAGCAAACCAGGAUUAGAUACCCCUGGUAGUCCACGCCCUAAACGAUGCGAACUGGAUGUUGGUCUCAACUUGGAGAUCAGUGUCGAAGCUAACGCGUUAAGUUCGCCGCCUGGGGAGUACGGUCGCAAGACUG
rnacentral:rRNA from 1 species